rnacentral:rRNA from 1 species
GGCGAACGGGUGAGUAAUGCAUCGGAACGUGCCCAGUCGUGGGGGAUAACGCAGCGAAAGCUGUGCUAAUACCGCAUACGAUCUAUGGAUGAAAGCGGGGGACCUUCGGGCCUCGCGCGAUUGGAGCGGCCGAUGUUAGAUUAGGUAGUUGGUGGGGUAAAGGCUCACCAAGCCAACGAUCUAUAGCUGGUCUGAGAGGACGACCAGCCACACUGGAACUGAGACACGGUCCAGACUCCUACGGGAGGCAGCAGUGGGGAAUUUUGGACAAUGGGCGAAAGCCUGAUCCAGCAAUACCGCGUGCAGGAAGAAGGCCUUCGGGUUGUAAACUGCUUUUGUACGGAACGAAAAGGUCUGGGUUAAUACCCUGGGCUCAUGACGGUACCGUAAGAAUAAGCACCGGCUAACUACGUGCCAGCAGCCGCGGUAAUACGUAGGGUGCAAGCGUUAAUCGGAAUUACUGGGCGUAAAGCGUGC